rnacentral:rRNA from 1 species
CCUACGGGCGGCAGCAGUGAGGAAUAUUGGUCAAUGGGCGCGAGCCUGAACCAGCCAAGUCGCGUGAGGGAAGACGGUCCUAUGGAUUGUAAACCUCUUUUGUCGGGGAGCAAAAGACGCCACGCGUGGCGUUCCGAGAGUACCCGAAGAAAAAGCAUCGGCUAACUCCGUGCCAGCAGCUGCGGUAAUACGGAGGAUGCGAGAGUUAUCCGGAUUGAUUGGGUGAAAAGGGUGCGCAGGCGGAAUAUCAAGUCAGCGGUAAAAUUGAGAGGCUCAACCUCUUCGAGCCGUUGAAACUGGUUUUCUUGAGUGAGUGAGAGGUAUGCGGAAUGCGUGGUGUAGCGGUGAAAUGCAUAGAUAUCACGCAGAACUCCGAUUGCGAAGGCAGCAUACCGGCGCUCAACUGACGCUCAUGCACGAAAGUGUGGGUAUCGAACAGGAUUAGAUACCCGAGUAGUC